UACGUAGGUCCCGAGCGCUGUCCGGAUUUAUUGGGCGUAAAGCGAGCGUAGGUGGUUUAUUAAGUCUGGUGUAAAAGGCAGUGGCUCAACCAUUGUAUGCAUUGGAAACUGGUAGACUUGAGUGCAGGAGAGGAGAGUGGAAUUCCAUGUGUAGCGGUGAAAUGCGUAGAUAUAUGGAGGAACACCGGUGGCGAAAGCGGCUCUCUGGCCUGUAACUGACACUGAGGCUCGAAAGCGUGGGGAGCAAACAGG
rnacentral:rRNA from 1 species